GGCUUGGUCCAAGUACAGUGGUGUUUAUAACUAAUUUAUCACAACCAGUUACAGUUUCUUUGUUCCUUCUUCACUCCCACUCCUUCUUUAGGCUUGACUAGCCUAAA
rnacentral:Y_RNA from 1 species